rnacentral:lncRNA from 1 species
GCUGAUAGAUCUGUGCAUCACCCUGGCCCUCUAGUGGUCACAUAGUAACUAUUGGCCUCAUUUCAAGCUGUACACAGAGGGCUAUCAGGUACCGCCGGGGGCUACAUACACAGCGAUUGAAGCACCUAAGGUAAGCUAAUAGAUCUGUGCAUCACCCUGGCCCUCUAGUGGUCACAUAGUAACUAUUGGCCUCAUUUCAAGCUGUACACAGAGGGCUAUCAGGUACUGCCGGGGGCUACAUACACAGCGAUUGAAGCACCUAAGGUAAGCUAAUAGAUCUGUGCAUCACCCUGGCCCUCUAGUGGUCACAUAGUCACUAUUGGCCUCAUUUCAAGCUGUACACAGAGGGCUAUCAGGUACCGCCGGGGGCUACAUACACAGCGAUUGAAGCACCUAAGGGUGAGUUUGGUGUGUAUUUGGUCUCCAAUGGAUCCAGUCGACCGUACCGUUGUAAGAUCAAAGCUCCAGGUUUUGCUCAUCUUGCGGGACUGGACAUGGUGUCUAAGGUACACAUGCUGGCUGAUGCAGUAGCUAUUAUUGGAACUUUGGAUGUUGUGUUUGGAGAGAUUGAUCGUUAGCUACAGCAUCGGAAGAAGUAUUUUUUGGGGGGUUGCUAUUUGCAACACGGCACAAACCAUCACCAGAGUUCAGCAUCACCAGAGUUAUUACACGGCCAUCUAUGGCAAAAUUAAACCAUUUAUAAUCUGAUGUUGCCAUUAUUGAAUCAAACUAGGAUGAUUAAAUCAACAAAACCAUUUCUCACCACUCUUUUUCUUUUGCCUUUUUAAACUUGAUCUCCUCCAAUCAAUGUCACAUUCUUGUAUGGAUUCUGUGCAUAACUUCACCUCUCAGUGAUGAUAAUGUAAACUAUACUGUGUGCACCCAUGCUUAGGAGUGCUCCUCUUACCUCAAAAGGCUAAACGUUUGUGCACAUUAAAUAUUUUCAAUUGUUUACUAGUUGUGCACCACACUGAAUAUGGACUUGUGAUAUACUCUAGCCUGGGUAUCAUAGGUCACAGAGUGUCAUCUACAGAUCCAGCAUGGAGUACCUUGUGAAAAAAUUGGAACAUGUUUGUUGUUCUGAAGAAGCCCAAAAGUCAGUGUAACAAAUGUAUAUGCAAUAAAAACUAUAACCUGAUUUGCAAAGAUUGUGUGGUAGAAUAAGAAUAGUGAUGCUGAAAUUGUAAAUAUUUAUUUCUUACCGGGUUUGCUUCUGACCAUGCUCCAUGACCCUUAUUUACAUAGGUCAUUAUUUAAGUUCAGUUGUGCCUCUGUGGAAAUGAACCAGAAUCAUAAAUUUGCAGUUGGUGUCUGACCCCAGGAAGAACUUGUUGAUUUCCCAGAUAUUAAAGUCUUAGAUUUCUAAUAUAGAAGUGAAGUUUCAAACUAAAUCUGCUUUUAUAGCAUCUUGCAUUAAUUGAUUGUUUUUGUACCAAACUAUAAAACAGAACAUAUCACCAGAAGUAAAUAAGUAGCGAAAAGGCAAAAUUGGGAAGGUUAUUUACCCAUGCUAUUUCCAUUUACCCAUGCUAUUUCCAACCAUGCAACUAGGAAUUUAGGAAAAAAUGAGGAACUCCAAACCACACAAGACUUUGUAUAGUGUUUUUCAAUUUGAAAUGGCAUUCAUGAGAAGUAAAAAAUUCUCGUCGCCAAUUAUCAAUCCGACUCAUUUUCGUGGAGAGGCUCUUCAUUUGUCAUUCAUUUAAGAAAUUAGAAAACUGGCAAAAAGUCUGACGUUCAGAAUACUUAAAAUUUGUAAAGACAUACUAAAUAGAAAAAUAAAUAUGAAUUUGAAUUGUUUGAAGAAAACAA